rnacentral:rRNA from 1 species
UGCAGUCGAACGGCAGCACAAGUAGCAAUACUGGGUGGCGAGUGGCGCACGGGUGCGUAGCGCGUAUGCAACCUACCUUUAACAGGGGAAUAACCCCGAGAAAUCGGGGCUAAUACCGCAUAAUAUCAUGAAGUGGCAUCACUUUGUGAUCAAACCUUCGGGGGUUAAAGAUGGGCAUGCGUGACAUUAGCUAGUUGGUGAGGUAACAGCUCACCAAGGCUACGAUGUCUAGGGGGCCUGAGAGGAUGAUCCCCCACACUGGUACUGAGACACGGACCAGACUCCUACGGGAGGCAGCAGUAAGGAAUAUUGGACAAUGGUGGAAACACUGAUCCAGCCAUGCCGCGUGAAGGAUGAAGGUGCUAUGCAUUGUAAACUUCUUUUGCACUAGAAUAAACCUUUGGUUUCUACCAAAGCUGAAUGUAUAGUGAGAAUAAGCAUCGGCUAACUUCGUGCCAGCAGCCGCGGUAAUACGAAGGAUGCAAGCGUUAUCCGGAUUUAUUGGGUUUAAAGGGUGCGUAGGCGGAUUUUUAAGUCAGAGGUGAAAGCCCACAGCCUAACUGUGGAACGGCCUUUGAUACUGAAAAUCUUGAGUGCGGUUGAAGUGGGCGGAAUGUGUCAUGUAGCGGUGAAAUGCUUAGAUAUGACACAGAACACCAAUUGCGAAGGCAGCUCACUAAACCGUAACUGACGCUGAGGCACGAAAGCGUGGGGAUCAAACAGGAUUAGAUACCCUGGUAGUCCACGCCCUAAACGAUGAUUACUCGAUGUGUGCGAUAUACUGUACGCGUCUUAGCGAAAGCAUUAAGUAAUCCACCUGGGGGAGUACGACCGCAAAGGUUGAGACUCAAAAGGAAUUGACGGGGGGCCCGCACAAGCGGAGGAGCAAGGUGGUUUAAUUUCGAUGAUACGCCGAGGAACCUUACCAGGGGCUUGAAAGUUAAGAGAAGCAAG